UUUGACCGAAGCUAUUCAUCAUGUCUCUUUUUUUUUCCCAUUGAAAGCAUGUGCAGGUGUUUACUGUAAGGAGUAGAAAGAACAGAAAUGAUGGACAAACAUCAGGCGCCUUGAUGCCUGGUGAACAGAUGGAGAUGAGUCUGAAGUAAGAUGCAUAAGCCUUUUUUAUUCAGUUGCUUCAUAGUGGGUGGAUUGCACUUUUGUAAUUUACCCAUCAUUCUCAUAUGGCAGCAUCGUGAACGAUUUGUAAUGCUCAUUAACCCAUGUCAGUCUCAAGACUGGACUCAUUAGACUUUUGUAUAAGAAGUAAUCAACUGUAAUCAAGUGAAAAAAUGGUUGAUGAAAGCAUUUUUUCAACAUUCUUGUGAGUUCACAAUAUAUUGACUAAAUUAGAAGGAACUACACUUUUUUUGUCCUUUUUGCAGUAAUGGAACAUUUUUGUCAAUACAUUGGGAUGGUAGCCGGUUUUCAAUAUCCAGUCAGGCUUUUUUUUUCUGGGUUUCCUUCCGCAUUCCAAAAAAACAUGCACCUGAGGCAACCAAUCUAAGGUGUGCCCCGCCUCAUGCCCAAAGUCAGUAAACAGCUCAAGCUCAUCUCCAACGGAAAAUUGAAGGCUGAGGUGUCAAUCCCCCGGUUGUUAGAAGACACCAUCUGGUCUCUGCUCUUAAGAAGAGGGAUUCUACCAAUCAAAAGGUUCAACAGCUACCAACCACCACAACAGGCACCAACCAUCUUGCAGCAACAGCUCCACUCAGCAUCCUCAAAAAUGGAGGAAAGGAACAUGACCAAGGUGAAACGCAGGCCCUCAUGAUGUAUUUUGGUUUACCACGUUGGACCGACAGCUCCUCCUACCACGGGAGCAACACACCACCUGGUGGGAGUCAGUUAACAGCUCCGCCCCUCUCGUCACCAAGACAUAAAGCUACGAGUUCAAAGGUUGAUUGUUGAACUGCAGCCUUGGGUGCCAAGAACCUUUGUUUUAACAGUGUUGAAUCCAUGAUGGCAACAGAAGUCAAAUAGCAACUACAACCUCUUUGCCCAGGAACCUGACAUAUACAUGACCUUACCCAUUAUUACACCUCAUUUCCUCCCCCUCAUUUGUUUGAAGUCAGCACACACCUUCCAAAAAGUCAUACCCACAAUCCCCCAGGCAGUACUUUGAAUCCCUCUUCCCAUGUGUAGACCACAAACAUCUUCAUCUAUAAUUAUAUUUAUGACUUGCAUUUAUGUCAGCUUCCAAGUGGACUGCACACGCACACAAUGAUGUGGCUGCAAUAAAGUGUGUCAUAAUGUG